AUUCCAGCUCCAGUAGCGUAUAUUAAUGUUGUUGCAGUUAAAAAGCUCGUAGUUGGAUUUCUGACUUGACGCGCCUGGCCCGCCUUGCAUUUCGCGGGUGAGUGCCGGAGCGCGUCGGUCAUCCUUCUAGAGAACGGCGCUACCCUUCACUGGGUCGGCGUCGCAAUCUAGAUCUUUUACUUUGAAAAAAUUAGAGUGUUCAAGGCAGGCUCGCGCUGUGAAUACAUUAGCAUGGAAUAAUAAUCUAGGACUUUGUUCCUAUUUUGUUGGUUUCUAGGAAUUAAGUAAUGAUUGAUAGGGAUAGUUGGGGGUGCUAGUAUUCAGCGGCCAGAGGUGAAAUUCUUGGAUUCGCUGAAGACUAACUUAUGCGAAAGCAUUCACCAAGGAUGUCUUCAUUA
rnacentral:rRNA from 1 species